rnacentral:lncRNA from 1 species
CAUCACAUCCGUUAGUAUCAGAGUUUUUCCAGAGUUGAACUUCAACUCCACGUCUCGAAUUCUAGCAACAUUGGUGGUGUGUGAGUCUCUCAAAAGAAAUUUUUAAUCUUCAGUAGCGGUAUAUGUCUUUAACAUAGCACGGUCAAAGCAGACAUGACAAGUGGGGCUAAUGUCCAUCCACAAUCUAUCAGAUUCGCCAACUAGUUUGACUUCAAUAAUCAUAGCCAUGAACGGAUCUUUAGUUGUUAGGUGAGCCUAAGCAGUUUUGUUUGACCUAUUCCUACACUUAUGUGUCAUAUAUCCCAGAAAACUACAAUUGUUAUAGUUAAAUUGCGUAACAAAGUCAUUCUUCUGUGGUUGCUGAUUUUGGGCCUUUUAUGGGUUCCUAUUCUUAUUCCGAUUGAAAUUCUUAUUCACAAGGCAGUUCUGAUUCUUAAAUUGUUUUUCGCUAGGAUUCAAAACAACACUUGCAAAAUUAUUAUUAGUGUUGUUAUUCGAGACAACAAGCACCUUAUCUUUUAAAUCCUGUUUCCUUGCUUCUUCUUCAAUUCGAAUGCAGGUAAUCAUACAUUCAAGAGAGAACUUCUUAGUAUUAUACCUAAGAAGAUUCUUGAAGUCAUUCCAAGCAUUAGGCAGUAUGUCAAUUAUAAAAACAAUUUGAAAUUGUUGAUCUAACUUCUUACCUUCAGAC